GACGAACGCUGGCGGCGUGCCUAAUACAUGCAAGUAGAACGCUGAAGGAGGAGCUUGCUUCUCCGGAUGAGUUGCGAACGGGUGAGUAACGCGUAGGUAACCUGCCUGGUAGCGGGGGAUAACUAUUGGAAACGAUAGCUAAUACCGCAUAAGAGUAGAUGUUGCAUGACAUUUGCUUAAAAGGUGCAAUUGCAUCACUACCAGAUGGACCUGCGUUGUAUUAGCUAGUUGGUGGGGUAACGGCUCACCAAGGCGACGAUACAUAGCCGACCUGAGAGGGUGAUCGGCCACACUGGGACUGAGACACGGCCCAGACUCCUACGGGAGGCAGCAGUAGGGAAUCUUCGGCAAUGGACGGAAGUCUGACCCCCGCAACGCCGCGUGAGUGAAGAAGGUUUUCGGAUCGUAAAGCUCUGUUGUAAGAGAAGAACGAGUGUGAGAGUGGAAAGUUCACAGUGUGACGGAUCUACCA
rnacentral:rRNA from 1 species